ensembl:lncRNA
AUACCAGCCACAGCUGCAGCACCACGGCCGUCUACCCGCUUCAUACCAGCCACAGCACCACGGCCAUCUACCUGCUUCAUACCAGCCACAGCUGCAGCACCAUGAUCAUCUAUCUACCUGCUUCAUACCAGCCACAGCUGCAGCAGUACCCAUUAGUACAUAUUCAGCACCACGGACAGAAUACACAUUUGCAGCAAUAUGCUCACAACCACAGCUGCAAAAAAAAAAUGUGUUUGGAACCAUUGAGAUCCUAUUAAAUUACUCCUAGUAUUCUAGUAGGUAAUACUAUGUCCAGAACCAUGCACAUCUCCCUAACAGGGAGAGGUAUAGGGACCACGGAGAGCUCCUUAUUAAGUGGAGGUACAGGGACCAUGGACAGCUCCCUAACAGGGGGAGGUGCAGGGACCAUGGACAGCUCCCUGACAGGAGGAGGUACAGGGACCGUGGACAGCUCCCUAACAGGGGGAGGUACAGGUGCCAUGGACAGCUCCCUAACAGGAGGAGGUACAGGGACCAUAGACAGCUCCCUGACAUGAGGAGGUACAGGGACCAUAGACAGCUCCCUAACAGGGGGAGGUACAGGGACCAUGGACAGCUCCCUAACAGGAGGUGGUACAGGGACCAUGGACAGCUCCCUAACAGGAGGAGGUACAGGAACCAUGGACAGCACCCUGACAGGAGGUACAGGGACCAUGGACAGCUCCCUAACAGGAGGAGGUAUAGGGACCAUGGACAGCUCCCUAACAGGAGGAGGUAUAGGGACCAUGGACAGCUCCCUGAUAGGAGGAGGUAUAGGGGCCAUGGACAGCUCCUGCAUCCCAAAUUCCAC